UACGGGGGGAGCAAGCGUUGUUCGGAUUUACUGGGCGUAAAGGGCGCGUAGGCGGCCAGCACAAGUCAGUUGUGAAAUCUCCGGGCUUAACUCGGAAAGGUCAACUGAUACUGUGCGGCUAGAGUGCAGAAGGGGCAACUGGAAUUCUCGGUGUAGCGGUGAAAUGCGUAGAUAUCGAGAGGAACACCUGCGGCGAAGGCGGGUCGUCUGGGC
rnacentral:rRNA from 1 species